CCAAUAGCGUAUAUUAAAGUUGUUGCAGUUAAAAAGCUCGUAGUUGAAUUUCGGGAUCAGUACGUCGGUCGUGCCUUCGGUACGUACUGGUGUUACUGGUUUCUACCUUCUGAAGAACCGUCAUGUCAUUAAUUUGGUGUGGCGGGGAAUCAGGACUGUUACUUUGAAAAAAUUAGAGUGUUUAAAGCAGGCUCGCUCUUGAAUACAUUAGCAUGGAAUAAUGAAAUAGGACGUUCGAUCCUAUUUUGUUGGUUUCUAGGAUUGACGUAAUGAUUAAUAGGGAUAGUUGGGGGCAUUAGUAUUCAAUUGUCAGAGGUGAAAUUCUUGGAUUUAUUGAAGACUAACUACUGCGAAAGCAUUUGCCAAGGAUGUUUUCAUUAAUCAAGAACGAAAGUUAGGGGAUCGAAGACGAUCAGAUACCGUCGUAGUCUUAACCAUAAACUAUGCCGACUAGGGAUCGGAUGAUGUUAAUUUUUUAAUGACUCAUUCGGCACCUUACG
rnacentral:rRNA from 1 species